CUUCUGUAACCAGGAACGUGGAAAACGGUUGCUGCUGUUUUUCCACACUUCAAAGAAAAUGUUUGCUUCAGGCAGAUUUUUACCUUAGGCUUGUCCUGGCUAGUAUUUUGACAGGUUCUGAGAAAAUGAAAAAGUGUCCUGAAAUGACAGCCUUGGUUCCUAGCCAGCAAGCAAAUGAAUUCUAGGAGUAUAAGCUUUCAGAAAAACCUCUUACUGGUCUCUGGGAAACCACCUUGGACUGCUUCGUAUCCACAGAUCAACCCUCUGCAUCUUCACGUGUUGUGGGAUCAUGUGAUUAAAAUCUGAAUCCUUUCACUGCUCUUGAAUGGAUGCCCCAAACCUGAAUUCUCAAUGUUCCUUUGCUGGACUGGGUACUUUGUUAUCCUUUGUACAACAAAAUGCUGACAACUCUGCCCUUGAUCCUGCCAAACACUUAAAUACAUGCUCAAACCUACCUGCACAUGUGCUUUGAUGCACAGCAGCCAGCACUCAGCAGUUUUCAGGACCAUUAGCCAGGGGGAAUAAUUUUGAAAUAUUCUGUGAGAACUUCACAAACCAGAGUUCUUUGAAGCAGAUCAAUGCAGAGCAAAAUAUUUCUGUUGUUUUUUUCACUUCUUUUAUUUCUUGGGCAGGAAGGAAACAGAGUGGAAAGAUAGUAAAAGACCUGAUGCAGAAACAACAUUCCUAUUCCUUACUGGCAUAGCAAA